CUUACACUACUGCCAUCUGGUCAAUCUUAAAUCUUGUUAAUUUGAAACCGCCUAGUUCUUCAGUUCUUUAGUUGUGAUCGAUCACGCAUAUAUAAGAUGGCUGCAUAGAGAACCCUUCUUGUUUUCCCAUCAUCAAAUGCGCAAUACUUCUGUUGUAGGUUCCUGCGUGGGAUAAUAAUUAGCAUCCAUUUCCACCAACUUGGCAUUGCUCCAGUACGGAAUCAGUCAACACCACAAGCACAAAAUUUAACCUGGUUGCACGGAAUGUGUCUAAUCUGGAUGAUUUAUUGGUUUUUUCCUUGUGUGAUUUAAUCUCUGUGAUUAAAAGACAAUAGACCGAGUUACCAUUUUAUCUAGUUGAUAAUGGUCAUCUGUAGAACAAGUCAACUUAAGCAUAAUAAGGUUAUAUACCCUCGACCAUGAGGUGGUCGAGAUUAGAGGUUUGAAUCCCCACCACUACAUGUUGAAUUAAAAAAAAAAAAAAAAAAAAAAAAAAAAAA